AACGCUAGCUACAGGCUUAACACAUGCAAGUCGAGGGGCAGCAUGGUCUUAGCUUGCUAAGGCUGAUGGCGACCGGCGCACGGGUGAGUAACACGUAUCCAACCUGCCGUCUACUCUUGGCCAGCCUUCUGAAAGGAAGAUUAAUCCAGGAUGGGAUCAUGAGUUCACAUGUCCGCAUGAUUAAAGGUAUUUUCCGGUAGACGAUGGGGAUGCGUUCCAUUAGAUAGUAGGCGGGGUAACGGCCCACCUAGUCAACGAUGGAUAGGGGUUCUGAGAGGAAGGUCCCCCACAUUGGAACUGAGACACGGUCCAAACUCCUACGGGAGGCAGCAGUGAGGAAUAUUGGUCAAUGGGCGAUGGCCUGAACCAGCCAAGUAGCGUGAAGGAUGACUGCCCUAUGGGUUGUAAACUUCUUUUAUAAAGGAAUAAAACACCUUACGUGUAGGGUCUUGUAUGUACCGUAUGAAUAAGCAUCGGCUAACUCCGUGCCAGCAGCCGCGGUAAUACGGAGGAUGCGAGCGUUAUCCGGAUUUAUUGGGUUUAAAGGGAGCGUAGACGGGAUGUUAAGUCAGUUGUGAAAGGCUGCGGCUCAACCGCAGCACUGCAGUUGAUACUGGCGUCCUUGAGUGCGGUUGAGGUAUGUGGAAUUCGUGGUGUAGCGGUGAAAUGCUUAGAUAUCACGAAGAACUCCGAUUG
rnacentral:rRNA from 1 species